UAACAGAGGUCUCAAGCGUUUGUUCGGAUUCAUUGGGCGUAAAGGGGCGCGUAGGCGGCGAGGUAAGUCGGGUGUGAAAUCUCGGAGCUUAACUCCGAAACUGCAUUCGAUACUGCCGUGCUUGAGGACUGGAGAGGAGACUGGAAUUUACGGUGUAGCUGGUGAAAUGCGUAGAUAAUCGUAAGGAACACGGUGGCGAAGGCGGGUCUCUGGGCCGGAA
rnacentral:rRNA from 1 species